CCUGGUUGAUUCUGCCAGUAUGAUUGCCUCAAAGAUUAAGCCAUGCAUGUCUAAGUACGCACGGCCGGUACAGUGAAACUGCGAAUGGCUCAUUAAAUCAGUUAUGGUUCCUUUGGUCGCUCGCUCCUCUCCUACUUGUAUAACUGUGGUAAUUCUGGCACUGCCUCAACCUCCUUUGGUGGAUGCAUGCAUUUAUUAUAUCAAAACCAACCUGAUAAGCCUCCUUCAUGCUCCAGCCAGGGGUGUGGUCAAUGGCAACUUUGGUGACUCGAGAUAACAUCUGGCUGGUCCCAUGCCUCUGGUGGUGGUAACAACCCAUUUUGAUAUCUGUCCUAUCAACUUUCGAUGGUAGUCUCCAUGCCUGUCAUGGUGACGAUGGGUGAUGGGGAAUCAAGGUUUGAUUCUGGAGAGGGUAGCUGAGAAAUGGCUACUAUAUCCAAAGAAUGCCUCAGGCACACAAUUUAUCCAUACCCAACUUGGGGCAGUACUGAUGAUAAAACAAAACAGGACUCUUUCAAGGCCCUGUAAUUGGAAUAAGUUCACUUUAAGUUAUUUAAAGAGCAUCCAUUUAUAGCAAGUCUGGUGUCAGCAGCACAGUAAUUUUAGCUUCAGUAGUGUAUAUUAAAGUUGCUCCAGUUAAAAAUCCUAUGGUUAGGUCUUGGAAGCAGUAGGUGUCCUGCCUGUGAAGAUAGUCACCCAUCCUCUCUGUUGCUUGACUGUAGGUGCCCCCUCCAUAUUCUGGCUGACCCCUGGGGCCCAAAGCAUUUACUUUGAAUAAUUAGGGUGUUCAAAACAAGCCCAAGUCUACUGGAUCCCACAGAGAAGAAUAAUGGAAUCUGAGCAUGGUUCUAUUUUGUUGGUUUUCAGAACUGAGACUAGGAUUAAUAAAGACUUCCAGACCAUUUGUAUUGUGCUGCUACAGGGUGGAAAUUCUUGGACUGGCACAAGACAGAUUAGAGUGAAAAAUUAGCUAAGAACAUUUUCAUUAGUCAAUAAGGAAAGUCAUAUGUUCAAAAAUGAUCAAAUGAAGUCAUAUUCUAACCAAUACUGAUAACAACUGGCAAUGUGGCAGAAUUAUUCCAAUGACCCAGUGGGUAGCUUCUAGAAAACCAGUCUUUGUGGUCCAGGGAGAAUAUGGUUGCAAAUCUGUAAUGUACAUGAUCAGACAGAAGGGCACCACCAGAAUUGGAGUCUGCAGCAUAACUGGAUGCAACACAGGAAUCUUCACCUGGUCCAGACAUGGAAAUAAUUGACAGACUGACAGAGUUGGGGAUUGUGGAAGAGAAGCUGUUCCCAUGCUGCUUUCCCAAUUCAGCCUUUUUCAGCUUUUUGAGACAACUCCAUGCUUAUGUGUCUUUUAGUUUAUUUGAUUUUUACUUCACAUUUUUUUUUAAUUAGUAUUAUCUGCUAGUCAGCAAGGCCUAUGGGUUGUUCAGCUUCCCUUACCCUCAGGGUUGCAGAUACAUGGUUUCACUGGCUCUCUAAGGAUUUAUUCCUGAGUGCUGCUGUGAGUGAGUCUAUCAAAAUUCUUUUAACAUCAUUAUAAUUGUUAUUCUCCUCCCCCUCCUCCCCCCCAUCCUCCUCCUCCUCAUCUCAUUAAACUUCACUGUUUAUAAUGAAGCACAGCAAGGAGGUUAGAGUAAUGGAUAGAUUCCAAAGGCCUUCC
rnacentral:rRNA from 1 species